rnacentral:lncRNA from 1 species
GGCCUGCGCCCAAUCAACUUAAUCUGUUUCAAUGUUCCAAUAUCUGCAAAGCUAGGGGGAAUCUCCUCAAGCCUGUGACACAUUUUUAUAACAAGCUUUUCAAGCAUAGGAAAAGAUUCCUCUGAGUCAUCCAACCUUGAGAUACCUAACCGCACCAGUUUCAACAACUUAAGUUUAUUGAACUUAAUAUCUUUGAGGCACCACUCUUUCGAAUCAAUUCCAUAAUCCUCUAAUUUAAGAUACUCUAGAUUUGGUAGUCCCGCAAUUAAAGGAGCUGCGCUUACUAUAUUAGGACCUGUAAAUAUCUUUGAGGCACCACUCUUCCGAAUCAAUUCCAUAAUCCUCUAAUUUAAGAUACUCUAGAUUUGGUAGUCCCGCAAUUAAAGGAGCUGCGCUUACUAUAUUAGGACCUGUAAGUUUCAACUUCUUUAGAUUUGAAGGUAAGUGUAACUCAGUCAUACUAAAAUCUUUAAAGGAAAUGUCAAGUAAUUGCAGCCGAGUAAGACUCUCUAGUUUGGGACUGAAAGUACAACUCCCUCUAAAGAUAACGAG